AACGAACGCUGGCGGCAUGCCUAACACAUGCAAGUCGAACGAUACCUUCGGGUCUAGUGGCGCACGGGUGCGUAACGCGUGGGAAUCUGCCCUUGGGUUCGGAAUAACAGUUGGAAACGACUGCUAAUACCGGAUGAUGACGUAAGUCCAAAGAUUUAUCGCCCAAGGAUGAGCCCGCGUAGGAUUAGCUAGUUGGUGAGGUAAAGGCUCACCAAGGCGACGAUCCUUAGCUGGUCUGAGAGGAUGAUCAGCCACACUGGGACUGAGACACGGCCCAGACUCCUACGGGAGGCAGCAGUGGGGAAUAUUGGACAAUGGGCGAAAGCCUGAUCCAGCAAUGCCGCGUGAGUGAUGAAGGCCUUAGGGUUGUAAAGCUCUUUUACCCGGGAUGAUAAUGACAGUACCGGGAGAAUAAGCUCCGGCUAACUCCGUG
rnacentral:rRNA from 1 species